GACACAAUUAUUUUUUAGUUUCUCCAUAAUUAUCAUCAUUUUAUAUUAUACUCCCCCUUCACAUAAUAAGUGUGAGGAAAUGAUGUUAAAAUUUAAACACUAAGUGUUUAAAUUUAGAGUUAGUGGUGUGUGAAUUUCAAAAAUAAAAAAGUCACAUAAGAAAGAUAUACUACAUACUAAUAUUAUUAUAAUGAGUGAGGAUGGCCUUUGGGGUGUGUUCUAAAUGGUGCUCAAUUUUAUGAACAAAAAGAACGCACUCAAAUCAUCAUCACGCGUGCAGUCAUUAGCUGGCUCAGUUUGGCUUAAUUUGAACUAUGUGGUGUAUUAUUUUUUAGAAUUUAAAAAUUUAAUAUUUAUUGUUUAAUGUGUCUGUUUCUAUCUCUUUCUCCGAAAUAUUUUUUGAUACAUUAUUUUGUGUGCGUCAAUCAAGUCUUCCUUUCGACUCCAUUUUUCCUCGUGAUUUUCACAUGACUAAGUCUUCCUAUGCUGUCUUCCGAUUUCACAUGUGAAUUUUAUGUGCAAAAGCCAAUUUAAACAUAUAUAGGAGAAACUAGUUUUAAUUCAAACUAAAAGGAUAAUUUUUCUUUCAUAUUUCUCUUUUAUAAGUGUUUGUUGAGAAAUUUAUGUAAUCUGACUUUGAAUGUGCACAACCAUUUUUUUUUUAAAUUUUGUUUUUCAGUUUUUUUAUUUUAAAAUAUUGUGUCUCUUUAGGUAUAAAAGAAAAACUCAUAAGAAUGCUCUCAGCUUCAUUGAUGUAUAGCUGAGGGGAACCAUGUCAUUUAGACAUUUACUAGAGAAGAAUCGGGUAAGACCAUUUCAAAUAUUUUGAGGAUGUGAUAUCGACUGAGGUUGUUUUAUAGGCCAUGGACUAGUAGAUUGAUUAAGUUAUGAAUUUUGGC
rnacentral:lncRNA from 1 species